rnacentral:tRNA from 1 species
GGACCCGUGGUGUAGCCUGGCCUAACACAUCUGACUGUCGAUCAGAAGAUCGCGAGUUCGAAUCUCGUCGGGUCCGCCA